rnacentral:rRNA from 1 species
UACGUAGGGCGCAAGCGUUAUCCGGAAUUAUUGGGCGUGAAGAGCUCGUAGGCGGUUUGUCGCGUCUGCUGUGAAAGACCGGGGCUCAACUCCGGUUCUGCAGUGGGUACGGGCAGACUAGAGUGCAGUAGGGGAGACUGGAAUUCCUGGUGUAGCGGUGAAAUGCGCAGAUAUCAGGAGGAACACCGAUGGCGAAGGCAGGUCUCUGGGCUGUAACUGACGCUGAGGAGCGAAAGCAUGGGGAGCGAACAGG